UGAGUGGAGACUGGAAAGGACAUUGCAUUUCAUGCCUCAGUUGCCUCAUAGUCAGCAUACAGCAGCACAGUGUGAUUGGCUUGGGCUCAGAGCUUGUCAAGGAAAUUUCUCUUUUAAUCCAGAAAUGUAGGGCACCUGUCAGAUUUACUCUGUUUUCACUUAUCCCACGGUGCCUACUGUCACAUCUUUGAAAUAUGGCUUGGGGUCCCUUUGACAGUUGUCCAAGGUGUAGGUUCCUCAUGGACAUGCUCAGCAAAAACCCAGGAUAUUAUAGCACAAAACUUCAAUGCCCAAAUUUCUUUAACUCCCCUAAUUUACAUACUCAUCUGCAAAAUCCUCAAAUAUUUCCACUUUAUUAUACUCCCUCUCCUGCCCCCACAUUCUCCUCAUCUUUUACUCCUUAUUGUAACAAAGGUCAGCAGGGUCAGCAGAAGGUUUGCCUAUAGCCUUUGCAAGGUCUGGAUCUGUAAACGUACCUGAAUUAUUCUUCACCCAUCUAGGAGUCCUUAAACUUUUUGAUAUUGCAUAUGGACACCAAACAGCACCUUAAAUUACUUUCUUUUCUAUUAAGCUCCAACAGAGACAAUCUUGGGGGUGGGAUGUACAAGGGUUUUUUGAACUACCAUGUGUUUUCCAGAAUUGCAACUGUCAUGCCUACAGCUCAUUUCCAACGCAGGAGAGCCACAUCCAGGAGAUCGAACUGUGAAGUGACGAGCAGAAGCCUUGCCCACCCGGUGUGUUUCUCCCUGUAGAUGAAGAUCAGCACAAUGAAGCUGGCUGGUGUCUCCAGAUGCAGCUAUUUCAUUGGAGAACACCCGACCUCACUGGAGAGAAAUGUCCCAUUCAGGGUACGGAAGCCUUUGCCAUCCAAAUCCGAAAGCUGUAGCUGGAGACUAGCCGGAGCAGUGGCGUGGGGCAGGCGGAGGCGGCUGAGCCAGCCCAGCAGCCAGGCUGCGGAAGGAGAGGAAGGACCUGCAGGGCACGCCAUGAUCAGUGCUGGAAGGGAAGGGAAGGAACCUGAAGCUUCUCCAUGAUGAGCAUGGUCUUGGGUAGCCUGUGCACAGGAGUGAUGCCGCAUUUUCCCAGUGACCUUGGGAGCUGGAUGUAGUGGUCUCUAGAUCACACCAGCCUUUGGCCCCCUUGCAGCUCUCUGUGGCAUCGCAUGGCUACAGGCUCAAAGGGUACAGCCAGUGGAGAAGUCCUCCCGCGUAAGGUUAGUUUCUGACGUCCCUCUCUUCUGUUUAAAUGUGGAUAAUGACGAUGCUGCCCUGCUCAUCAGGAAAUGAGUAGGCUGCUUGACCCCAGCCUGAGCUGAAGGAAAGAAGCCACAUCUAGGGCGACAUGCAAAUGGAGCGACUUUCCAUUUAAUAAUAACUGAAACACUCUGGAACAUUAUCAUCUGCAUGGCAACCACGAGCCCAUCUGCGGCUAACAUCAAUAUUACAAAGCAAAAAAGCCUGCUUUUACAUGGUAAAUACACAUUGUGAAAAUCCUUAUCAGAGCUGAAUGUGGGCUCGGUGGGAAAAGCCAUCCUCUCUGUAACACUAACAGCAGGUCACUUUAUAUUUCAGCUGUGAACAAUGGACAGCAGUGAUUCACUCUGCAGCUAGUCUCAUAAAAGUCUACUCCUUAUUCUCUGAGAUGAGUAGGAGUGAUAUUUUUAUGGAUGAGUGUUGUUGUUGUUAAGUCUUUUCUAGGUCAGUUUAAACCAACACGUGUAACCCCUCCUGGCUGACUCCCACCUCUGUGCAAACUGGCAGAUCCAUUCAAACACAGGCAGGCGCUGGAGCGGUGCUCUGGAGGGGACACGCUGGACAAGCCACAUCAUCAGAGUUGGGAAUUGGGUACAAAACGGCACCUAAGCCAGAUGUCGAAACUCAGGAGUGCUGGACUCCGGUCUUUAAGUGAAAAAGAAGAGUGCCAAAUGCUUGCCAGGGAGGAAGAAGCCUGUUCAUCUGGGCACCAGCCAGAGAGGACCUUCAAAUCUUCUCUUGGUCCUCUGCCUAGGGGUGACAUCAGUGCAGGCUCCCUGUUUGGGGUUGUGCUUUCCCUCAAGUUAAUGCUGCUCUUCUGCUUACAAAAAAUCAGCACAGUAUUAAUUUCACUGUGUCUUAAUUAUUCCAUUUCUGGUUUUAUAAAUAUAUAGCUGCUUUUAUGCUUUAAUGCAAUAUUUUCCAUUAAGCAAUCCUAUACGGUACAACAAAAAUAAGCACUCUUAUAACAACAUGUGUAAGAUUAAACUAUUAAACUCACUCAAAGUACACAGUUCAUAAAUUAAAAGUGCUUAUGCUCAUACUUUAGUAUUGAUUGCUGAGUUUAUAAAAAUAGAAGAACUUGCCCUUAGGAAACAAAAAUCAUAGUUCCUUAAGCUUUUCUUUGUCAGGAAGCCAAAAAGACAACAUUACAUGGAAAUGUCGCCAUUUGUUCAUGUCAAAUGUAGUUUAUUCAAUUAGAUAUUUUAUAACUCUACUGAGUUAUACGAAGGAGGUUAAUAUUUUUAUUGUUUUUCUUCAUGCUGUGCCUCUAAUACACAGAAACAUAACUUAGCCUAGUAAAAUAUACAGUGUAAUUUGGUAAUGUGUUUAUUGGAUUCCAGUAAAAGACUACGAGAAAUUACUCAAGA